rnacentral:tRNA from 1 species
ACUUAUAUAAUAUAACCUAUUAUAUUUGAUUUCCAAUCAAAAAAUCUAACCUCUAGUAUAAGUA